rnacentral:rRNA from 1 species
CUACGGGAGGCAGCAGUGGGGAAUUUUGGGCAAUGGGCGCAAGCCUGACCCAGCGACGCCGCGUGGAGGAUGAAGGCCUUCGGGUUGUAAACUCCUGUCAGGUGGGAAGAAGUGCUUCACGGAUAAUACCCGUGAAGAAUUGACGGUACCACCAAAGGAAGCCCCGGCUAACUCCGUGCCAGCAGCCGCGGUAAUACGGAGGGGGCAAGCGUUAUUCGGAUUUACUGGGCGUAAAGCGCACGUAGGCGGCAGUGUAAGUCACAGGUGAAAUCCCUCGGCUCAACCGAGGAACCGCCUGCGAAACUGCAUUGCUUGAGUCCGGGAGGGGGGAGCGGAAUUCCCAGUGUAGCGGUGAAAUGCGUAGAUACUGGGAGGAACACCGGUGGCGAAGGCGGCUCCCUGGACCGGUACUGACGCUGAGGUGCGAAAGCGUGGGUAGCAAACAGGAUUAGAUACCCUGGUAGUCCACGCCGUAAACGAUGGGCACUAGGUGCAGCGGGUGUCGACCCCUGCUGUGCCGGAGUUAACGCAUUAAGUGCCCCGCCUGGGGAGUACGGUCGCAAGGCUGAAACUCAAAU